CGUAGGGGGCAAGCGUUGUCCGGAUUUAUUGGGCGUAAAGAGCGUGUAGGCGGCCAUACAGGUCAGCUGUGAAAACUCGAGGCUCAACCUCGAGACGUCGGUUGAAACCGUAUGGCUAGAGUCCGGAAGAGGAGAGUGGAAUUCCCGGUGUAGCGGUGAAAUGCGCAGAUAUCGGGAAGAACACCUAUGGCGAAGGCAGCUCUCUGGGACGGUACUGACGCUGAGACGCGAAAGCGUGGGGAGCGAACAGGAUUAGAUACCCUGGUAGUCCACGCCGUAAACGAUGGGAACUAGGUGUGGCGGGUGUCGACUCCCGCUGUGCCGAAGCUAACGCAUUAAGUUCCCCGCCUGGGGAGUACGGCCGCAAGGCUA
rnacentral:rRNA from 1 species